rnacentral:lncRNA from 1 species
CCCUCUCUCUCUCUCUCUCUCCCUCUCUCCCCCCCUCUCUCUCUUCCUCUCUCCUCUCUGUCUCUCUUUUUGCCAUCUACAUGAUCCUUGAUUAAACAUGGAACAGAGUUAAUAAAAAGGGUGGGGGGGAGACUCAAGGAGAGGAAAUGCAACUGUCAGAAAUCAGGACGGCCAGAUUUCCUGGUGAACCUGCCUCUGUCUGAGAGGGUGUCUCACCGAACGGUAGCUAAAACCUCACCAGAACCGCGCGGAAGUGAGAAGUCGCGGCCAAAGGCGCCCGCAGAAGCCUCCUCUCUGGGCCGGACCCCAGCCCGAGCGGCCGAAAGGAGCCCCCCGCCCGGAUCACAGCUGCUGCAGCUGCCGCUGAAAUUCGCUGUGGCCGCUGCCUCUUCCCGCUUUAAUCCCAGACCUCCAGUCAUUGGGCAGCUCCUCAGAGGCAAGAAGUCAACACCAUGGCAACCCGACAAGCCUAUCAAAUCACCGGCUGGCGUGACAGCAGCAACACUGCAGGCAGGAGUGGGCUGGGCGGAAGAGCAGAGUGGCCACUGCGCUCAGAAGUUUACAAGGAAAGGGGAAAUGUCUGAAAUGGAGAUUGCACAAUCCUGUCUUGAAGCAGAAGACUCAGCUAGAGCACAUCUGGAAACACCUGGCACUCCUCAAUAGAAUUCAAAUGCUAUUUUAAAAGAGUCCAUUUCUAAGAAGAUGUGGUUCGAACAUACAGAGCUACAUAAUAUGAGUAAAAUAGGACCUAACAGUAGUGUUCUCCAGCAUUGCUCUGCCUUUCCUUUUCUGGAUGUAACAACAUUACUAAGAAAGGAAGAAAAAGCAAAAAUCUGCUCUCGGGGAGAUUCCAGAAUGUUGGAAAGCCCCAAAUGGAAGUCUCUGCUUUGGUUACAGGACAUAAGGUUUAAUAAAUAAAAAGAUGCUCAUCUGGGAUGCUGCACCAAUUAUCAUGUACUAAAUAAGGUUACCUACUUCACUCUCCAGGUAGAAAUGUCUAUCAUAAGCAUGUGCCACAGAAGGUCUCUCAAGUAUCAUUAUUGGCUGUGUUGAAUUUUGUUUUUAGUUCUCUUUUAUAAGGUCUGUAGUCUUACUUUCAGUGAGGAAGUGUUUUCUCAGGUUCUCAAGAAAGUAACAAAAUGCCAGCAUUGUCAAGGUCACCAUUGCCACUGAAUUAUCUUACUGUCUGAUUAUUCCAUCUUCCUCUGCAUCAUAUUAGCCUGAUGACUACAUUCUAAUUAUUUAAAGCGUUAUGUAAAUCAAAGCAGUAAAUGUAAUUUCUAGUCUUACUAGAUAUCAUGUACAUUAGGUCGAAUAACUCUAGAAAUGUCGUCAUAAUCAUGUCAUGCCUAAUGAUGACCUACUCAGCCCCUGCCAACAUCAUUCAAUUACUCAUUUCAGUAUUGAUUUUUCUCAUGCCUCUCUUCGUGGCAUUUAAACAGCCCUCACAUCUCCCCUUUUACUGAGGUGUAAUGUUGUAUAAUGACAGAGAUGCUUUGCUUCCCAGAUUCAUAAUGUUACACUCUGUUUCAAAUCCUUUUGGAGACAAAUUGGGGAAUCAAUAUAUAAAUAAUGACACACUUAUUUUUAAUUAAAAUCACUGCUUUCACAGAAAUGGUAUAUUAAAAUUAUUUUUGCUAAAAAAAUUUUAAAUACCUAUGUACGAUAAAAAGACUGCCAAUCCUUGGGAUCAAGAAUAUAAUUUGCCCCAAAUAACUUUUCUGUAAAAGUAGAAUUCUUAAUGGAAAAUAGAUUAAUACAUAUAAUUUCAAGAUCUAAC